AUUGAACGCUGGCGGCAGGCCUAACACAUGCAAGUCGAGCGAGCGGCGGACGGGUGAGUAAUGUCUGGGAAACUGCCCGAUGGAGGGGGAUAACUACUGGAAACGGUAGCUAAUACCGCAUACUAUCAUAUGUGACCAGAGGGGAUUAGCUAGUGGGUGGGGUAACGGCUCACCUAGGCGACGAUCCCUAGCUGGUCUGAGAGGAUGACCAGCCACACUGGAACUGAGACACGGUCCAGACUCCUACGGGAGGCAGCAGUGGGGAAUAUUGCACAAUGGGCGCAAGCCUGAUACAGCCAUGCCGCGUGUGUGAAGAAGGCCUUCGGGUUGUAAAGCACUUUCAGCGGGGAGGCGUUACCCGCAGAAGAAGCACCGGCUAACUCCGUGCCAGCAGCCGCGGUAAUAC
rnacentral:rRNA from 1 species